rnacentral:tRNA from 1 species
AAAUAAGAAGCAAAGCCUUUGCAAUUAGUUUCGACCUAGUCCCUGAUGUUUACCCCAUCCUUAUUUU